UACGUAGGGUCCGAGCGUUGUCCGGAAUUAUUGGGCGUAAAGAGCUCGUAGGCGGUUUGUCGCGUCUGCUGUGAAAACUCGGGGCUUAACCCCGGGCCUGCAGUGGGUACGGGCAGACUAGAGUGCGGUAGGGGAGACUGGAAUUCCUGGUGUAGCGGUGAAAUGCGCAGAUAUCAGGAGGAACACCGGUGGCGAAGGCGGGUCUCUGGGCAGUAACUGACGCUGAGGAGCGAAAGCGUGGGGAGCAAACAGG
rnacentral:rRNA from 1 species